GCUUUGGCGGCUCCGGCCGCCAAAGGACCUCCAAACUCCAGUCAGUAAACGCAGACGUCUGAUAAACAAGUUAAUAAACUAAAACUUUCAACAACGGAUCUCUUGGUUCUGGCAUCGAUGAAGAACGCAGCGAAAUGCGAUAAGUAAUGUGAAUUGCAGAAUUCAGUGAAUCAUCGAAUCUUUGAACGCACAUUGCGCCCCUUGGUAUUCCGGGGGGCAUGCCUGUUCGAGCGUCAUUACAACCCUCAAGCUCUGCUUGGAAUUGGGCACCGUCCUCACUGCGGACGCGCCUCAAAGACCUCGGCGGUGGCUGUUCAGCCCUCAAGCGUAGUAGAAUACACCUCGCUUUGGAGUGGUUGGCGUCGCCCGCCGGACGAACCUUCUGAACUUUUCUCAAGGUUGACCUCGGAUCAGGUAGGGAUACCCGCUGAACUUAAGCAUAUCAAUAAGCGGAGGAAAAGAAACCAACAGGGAUUGCCUUAGUAACGGCGAGUGAAGCGGCAACAGCUCAAAUUUGAAAGCUGGCCCUUUUAGGGUCCGCGUUGUAAUUUGUAGAGGAUGAUUCGGCGAGGGCUCCUGCCUAAGUCCCCUGGAACGGGGCGUCAUAGAGGGUGAGAAUCCCGUAUGCGGUAGGUUGCCUUAGCCAUGUGAAUCUCCUUCGACGAGUCGAGUUGUUUGGGAAUGCAGCUCUAAAUGGGAGGUAAAUUUCUUCUAAAGCUAAAUACUGGCCAGAGACCGAUAGCGCACAAGUAGAGUGAUCGAAAGAUGAAAAGCACUUUGGAAAGAGAGUUAAAAAGUACGUGAAAUUGUUGAAAGGGAAGCGCUUGCAACCAGACUUGUCCGCAGUUGCUCAGCCGGUCUCCUGACCGGCGUACUCUUCUGCGGCCAGGCCAGCAUCAGUUCGGGCGGUCGGAUAAAGGCCUCGGGA
rnacentral:rRNA from 1 species